rnacentral:antisense_RNA from 1 species
CUUUAAUCCACCUCUGCAUGUGAUCAUCUGCAUGUGACUCCUUGAACUAUGGCAGCCAGCUGGAGCCAUGAAGUAAGCCACCCUAACAUGACUGGCAGAAACAUGGAGAGACAGGGUUUCACCAUAAUGGCCAGGCUGCUCUCCACCUCCUGGGCUCAAGCGAUCCACCCACCUCAGCCUCCCAAAAUGCUGGGAUUACAGGCAUGAGCCAUGGUUCCCCUCCAUCAUCAGCCCAAAUGUCAGUUGCUGGAGUACAAAGGCAGUGGCUGCUUCAGAUGCUUCAGACUGAAACUGCUCUUUGCCAUUCUCAUGGACACUGGAGAGUUAAGUUUGGUUAAAUUGAUGGCUUUUUCUUUUAAAAAAGAAAGAAUACACAUAUACCUUUGUGUACACACAAGCUAGGAAACAUCAAUCUAAUACAUGGAUGGCAAGAAAAACCAGAUCUAGCUCAUGCCAGUUACAACGGUCUGUGAAGACAAAAAGAUUUCUUCAGAUUUAUUUCUCAGCCAAUUUGUGCUUUUCUUAGGGAGAAAUUAAAAGUUUGUUAAAUACCUAUGUUUAGCCUUUUAUUAAUUUAGCCAGUGAAAUUAAAG